CUCUUGAACACGUGACCGCCGGCGUCCCCGACUCUGAAUGGGCACUGCUAUAUACCAUGUGGAUCACUCGUCAAGGAGGCACAGAGCGAGCACAGCCAAAUACCACCGCAGUCCACUCAUGUCAAUAGUUGGGGACCAUACACCCUGGGGGGCGAGAAGCGGGCGUGCCUGUACCGCCGCCCGCCUUAGUGAACCUUGCCCUGGGCCUAGAGGCGACGGCAGGUGCUUGGCGGGCGUGACGCAUUGAUCGUUCCGCCGGUGAGGCGCGGCUAGGCCCGGCGUGAGGUGCCUUGCCUAAGAGACACUGUACAGUACAUCAGGAUCGAGGCUGCAGUGUUGGCGCCAUACUACCUUCUACGUGACACAUCAUAUUUCAUCUCGGGUCUGCCUCCCAUGCUCCACUUACAGCUGUUUUGAAG